CUCCGGUUGAUCCCGCCGGACCCGACUGCUAUCAGAGUGGGACUAAGCCAUGCGAGUCAACGCAGCAAUGCGUGGCAUACGGCUCAGUAACACGUAGUCAACAUGCCCAGGGGACGUGGAUAACCUCGGGAAACUGAGGAUAAACCGCGAUAGGCCAAGAUUUCUGGAAUGGAUAAUGGCUGAAAUCUAUAUGGCCCCUGGAUUGGACUGCGGCCGAUCAGGCUGUUGGUGAGGUAAUGGCCCACCAAACCUGUAACCGGUACGGGCUCUGAGAGGAGGAGCCCGGAGAUGGGCACUGAGACAAGGGCCCAGGCCCUAUGGGGCGCAGCAGGCGCGAAACCUCUGCAAUAGGCGAAAGCUUGACAGGGUUACUCUGAGUGAUGUCCGUUAAGGGCAUCUUUUGGCACUUCUAAAAAUAGUGUAGAAUAAGGGGUGGGCAAGUCUGGUGUCAGCCGCCGCGGUAAUACCAGCUCCUCGAGUGGUCGGGGCGAUUAUUGGGCCUAAAGCAUCCGUAGCCGGUUCCGUAGGUCUCCUGCAAAAUCCAGUCGCUCAACGAUUGGCCCGCAGGAGAUACCGCGGGACUAGGAGGCGGGAGAGGUGGACGGUACUCCACGUGUAGGGGUAAAAUCCUUUGAUCCGUGGAAGACCACCAGUGGCGAAGGCGGUUCACCAGAACGCGCUCGACGGUGAGGGAUGAAAGCUGGGGGAGCAAACCGGAUUAGAUACCCGGGUAGUCCCAGCCGUAAACGAUGCAGACUCGGUGAUGGGUUGGCUUCGCGCUAACCCAGUGCCGCAGGGAAGCCGUUAAGUCUGCCGCCUGGGUAGUACGGUCGCAAGACUGAAACUUAAAGGAAUUGGCGGGGGAGCA
rnacentral:rRNA from 1 species